rnacentral:misc_RNA from 1 species
GAUGAAGAACGCAGCGAAAUGCGAUACGUAAUGUGAAUUGCAGAAUUCAGUGAAUCAUCGAAUCUUUGAACGCAUAUUGCGCUCUUUGGUAUUCCGAAGAGCAUGCUUGUUUGAGUAUCAGUAAACACCUCAAAGCUUUUGGAUUUUUUAAUCGAAAAGCUUUGGACUUGAGCAAUCCCAACACCAAUCUUUUUGAGAUCGGUGGCGGGUUGCUUGAAAUGCAGGUGCAGCUGGACAUUCUCCUGAGCUAAAAGCAUAUUCAUUUAGUCCCGUCAAACGGAUUAUUACUUUUGCUGCAGCUAACAUAAAGGGAGUUUGACCGUAUUGGCUGACUGAUGCAGGAUUUCACAAGCGUCGGCAACGAUUCUUGUUAAACUCGAUCUCAAAUCAAGUAAGACUACCCGCUGAACUUAAGCAUAUCAAUAAGCGGAGGA